GAAGGCGGACAUGUAGUCGCUGCCUGAGGCAGACGUGCCAAAGGGAGAGGAAAGUCCGGGCUCCUCGAGGAAGGAUGAUCGCUAACGGCGACCGAGGGCAACCUUAGGGAAAGUGCCACAGAAAACAAACCGCCAUGACCUCGGUUAUGGUAAGGGUGAAACGGCGGAGUAAGAGCCCACCGGUGUGUUGGUGACAACAUACGCUAGGUAAACCCCAUCCGGAGCAAGAUCGAACAAAAGUUGCUGCCUUAUCGGCAGCCGGGCAUCCUCGCCCGUUCCUUUGGGUUAUGAUCGCUUGAGCUUGCAGGCAACUGAAAGCCUAGAUGAAUGACUACACUGCUGCAUCCCAAUGAUGCUGCACGACAAAACCCGGCUUAUCGUCCGCACUUCAACC
rnacentral:RNase_P_RNA from 1 species